AUUCAACUGAUGAGUCCUACAAAGGACGGAACGCGUAUCCUGGAU
rnacentral:hammerhead_ribozyme from 1 species